AAGUGUUUGGCCGAGAUCGUGAGUUUUUAUCAAAUGACCUCAAAUCAGGCAAGAAUACCCGCUGAACUUAAGCAUAUCAAUAAGCGGAGGAAAAGAAACUAACAAGGAUUCCCCUAGUAACGGCGAGUGAAGAGGGAAGAGCUCAAAUUUUAAAUCUGCCUUGUUCCAAGGUCGAGUUGUAAUUUGAAGAAGCGUUUUCUUGGGCUCGCGGCCGGUAGAAGUUCUUUGGAACAGGACAUCAUAGAGGGUGACAAUCCCGUCCGUGACCGGUCGUGCGUUCAUAUACGAUACGCUUUCAAAGAGUCGAGUUGUUUGGGAUUGCAGCUCCAAACGGGUGGUAAACAUCACCUAAGGCUAAAUAUUGGCGAGAGACCGAUAGCGAACAAGUACCGUGAGGGAAAGAUGAAAAGAACUUUGAAAAGAGAGUUAAACAGUACGUGAAAUUGUUGAAAGGGAAACGAUUGAAGUCAGUCGUGCUGGCGCGAAAUCAACCCUCUCGUCUUGAGAUCACAUGGCGCGACGAGCCUCAAAACCGUCACGAAGCGUGAACUCUUGACGAAAAGGUGCACUUUCGUGUCCGCUGGUUAACAUCAAUUUCGAUCGUCAUAAAAAGGCUGGAGGGAUGUGGCUCCUUCGGGAGUGUUAUAACCUUUAGCGGAAUGUGGUGGUCGGGAUUGAGGAUUGCAACGAAUACCUUCAGGGCUGUUCCACCUGGCUUCUCAUUGGUAUCCUGGUGACGACAGCUUGCUGACGUCGUUAGGAUCCGCCUCUGAACAGGCUAGAGUGUGAGCAAAUUCGUUAAGGAUGUUAACGUAAUGGCUUUAAACGACC
rnacentral:rRNA from 1 species